rnacentral:piRNA from 1 species
UGAGCGGUGAGACCAUCGCCUAUCGCCA